GGAGCUUUAGCUGCACAAAGAUCAUCAAAUAUCCGGUUUUCAUACAAGUCUGCUUCCAGAAGAGUUCGCAUGGAAAACAAUCACCACAGCGAUGCAAGAGGUGCUCUUAUCGUUCUAGAAGGUUUGGAUCGAAGUGGGAAGACCUCAUAGUCUGGUAGGCUUGUCUCUUACUUAAAUGGUCUUGGGCAUCCAAUAGAGAAUCAUGGCAGUUUCCAGUUGUCGAGAAAAUGAUUUCAGCGUAUCUUUCCAAUGAAUCUCAGCUGGAUGAUCACAUAAUUCAUCCUCUUUUUAGUGCAAAUCGUUGGGAGAAAAGAUCAUUGAUGGAGGCUAAGCUAAAAAGUGGUACUUCUUUGAUUGUUGAUCGAUAUUCUUAUUCAGGGGUUGCCUUUUCAUCUGCCAAAGGUUUAGAUAUUGAAUGGUGUAAGUGAUGAGGCAAUCGAUAUCAAAUAUGACGUAACAAGAGUGUAAACCAUGAGGUGAGUUGAUUAAAGGACACUUGAGGGACCUAGAAAGAAGAAUAUUUGAGGUGUCAAAUAGGCUGUGAUGAGUUGAGUGAAAACCGUCUCUUGAUGUGGCAAAAUCCGAAGACAAUAGGUGCGAGUUUCUCCACUUGCAACUUCUAUUGCAACCAUGGUCGUCUAAUAGACAAAUUUGCACCAAAAAGGUCGGUCGGGUAAUGGACCAAAAAUGUCGACUUUUAAUAUCAGUAAGUCUUUCACUUAUGUGAUAGGAGGUUUUACGUAUUAAAAAAUAAUACGGGCAACUUUCAACCCGUUUGAUCUGGUUU